rfam:Gossypium hirsutum cultivar TM-1 unplaced genomic scaffold scaffold72.1, whole genome shotgun sequence
UGUUAAAAAUUGUAUCCAUUUCUACUGUUAAAAACUUAUGCGGCUAAUAAAAUAAUCAAACAGUUACGUGGUGUGUCACGUGUACCUUACUCUAACAUAUAUGGACCAGUUUUAAAUUGUAGAAAUAAAUAGAAUUUUUCAUA